CACGCCUGUAAUCCCAGCACGUUGGGAGGCCGAGGCGGGUGGAUCACAAGGUCAGGAGAUCGAGACCAUCCUGGCUAACACGGUGAAACCCCGUCUCUACUAAAAAUACAAAAAAAAAAAAAAAAAUUAGCCUGGCAUGGUGGCGGGCGCCUGUAGUCCCACCUGGAGGCCGAGGCAGGAGAAUGGUGUGAACCCAGGAGGCGGAGCUUGCAGUGAGCCGAAAGUGCUCCGACAGAGCGAGACUCCGUCUCAAAAAAAAAAAAAAAAUGCAGACAGAGAGAACGUGAGAGGACCCAAGUCUACUUAGGAAGCUUUCCUGAUGCCAGAUAAACUUUACAGGGAAGUCAGGACCCAGUAAAGUGUAGAAACACUCGUUUUUUGUUUGUUCGUUUGUUUUAAGACAAAGUU
rnacentral:lncRNA from 1 species